rnacentral:rRNA from 1 species
AGAGUUGAUCAUGGCUCAGGACGAACGCUGGCGGCGUGCUUAACACAUGCAAGUCGAGCGAUGAAGUCCUUCGGGAAUGGAUUAGCGGCGGACGGGUGAGUAACACGUGGGUAACCUGCCUCAUAGAGGGGAAUAGCCUUUCGAAAGGAAGAUUAAUACCGCAUAAGAUUGUAGUACCGCAUGGUACAGCAAUUAAAGGAGUAAUCCGCUAUGAGAUGGACCCGCGUCGCAUUAGCUAGUUGGUGAGGUAACGGCUCACCAAGGCGACGAUGCGUAGCCGACCUGAGAGGGUGAUCGGCCACAUUGGGACUGAGACACGGCCCAGACUCCUACGGGAGGCAGCAGUGGGGAAUAUUGCACAAUGGGGGAAACCCUGAUGCAGCAAACCGCCGCGUGAGUGAUGACGGUCUUCGGAUUGUAAAGCUCUGUCUUCAGGGACGAUAAUGACGGUACCUGAGGAGGAAGCCACGGCUAACUACGUGCCAGCCGCAGC